GUAGCCAUAAAAAAGAAUGAGUUUUUGUCCUUUGCAGGGACAUAGAUGAAGCUAGAAAUUAUCAUUCUCAGCAAACUAACACAGGAACAGAAAAACAAACACCGCAUGUUCUCACUCAUAAGUGGGAGUUGAACAAUCAGAACAUGUGGGCACAGGGAGGGGAACAUCACACACUGGGGCUUGUGAGGGAGUGGGGGAUAAUGGGAGGGAUAGCAUUAGGAGAAACACCUAAUAUAGAUGACGGGUUGAUGGGUGCAGGAAAUCACCGUGGCACAUGUAUACCUAUGUAACAAACCUGCACAUUCUGCACAUGUAUCCCAGAACUUAAAAUAUAAUUAAAAAAAUUUAAAACAAAUCACAUGUAGAGUAAGAGAACUAACCAGAAAAGUUGAAAUUAAAUGUAUAUAGAAAAGUUGGAAAUUUGUAACAAAUAUAUUAAACAACCAGACUAAUAAAAAUUACUGUAAUUAAGCAUUUUUUAAAAAAUAAUUCUUAUAAUUGUAAAUUAUAAACCCUGAAGGGCAACUGAGGUACAUAAAUGUUAAAAAUGCUAGUAUAUCUGAUAAUCUCCUUACUGGGCAUUUCUUCCUCAUGAAAAAUAAUGUUUAUUUAAGUAGAAAAUUGGGGAAAAAACAUCAUAUAUUAAAUACUUGGUUAAACCUACACAAUAUAAAUAAUUCCUAAGCUAUUUGGUAUAAUAUAAUGUAACUCUAUUUUUUCUAGAUGAAUAUUUAAAUAUUGCUGAAAUGAUAUAAGUAAAAAAAUUGGAACUAGUAAGGACAUAUGACUUUAAAUACACUCAGGUAUAUCUUCACAUAACACAUGAAAUACAUGGAGAGAAGAAAGAAUUGAAUGUCAUAUACCAAAUUGUUUGCAGUGGUUUUUCCUUGGUGGAGAGCUUAUUUCUGCUUUUUCUAAAUUCCUGACUUAAUGAACUUACUUUGGUAGACCUGUGAGAAAUUCUGGAACAUGUUAAAAUAUGACAUGAACUUGUUGAACUUCACUUCUUCUUUUAAACCUCUGGCAUGAUCCAGGAUCUUCUUGCUUGU
rnacentral:lncRNA from 1 species